AGCACAAGGAGCAAUCUGAGGUGGCGACCGGCGCACGGGUGAGUAACACGUAUGCAACCUGCCUGUAAGCGGGGAAUAACCCGUUGAAAGACGGACUAAUACCGCAUAAUACUAAAUUACUGCAUGGUAAUUUAUUUAAACAUUUAUGGCUUACAGAUGGGCAUGCGCAUGAUUAGCUAGUUGGAGAGGUAACGGCUCCCCAAGGCAACGAUCAUUAGGGGUUCUGAGAGGAAGGUCCCCCACACUGGUACUGAGACACGGACCAGACUCCUACGGGAGGCAGCAGUGAGGAAUAUUGGUCAAUGGACGAGAGUCUGAACCAGCCAAGUCGCGUGCAGGAAGAAUGUUCCCUAUGGAUUGUAAACUGCUUUUGCAGGGGAAUAAAGUGCAUCACGUGUGAUGUUUUGUAUGUACUCUGCGAAUAAGGAUCGGCUAACUCCGUGCCAGCAGCCGC
rnacentral:rRNA from 1 species